GCCCACGUUCCUCUCUUCCGUCUCUGAUCCGAGAAUCGAAGCAGAGAAAAGAGAGAGAGACGUCCAGCUUUCGCUUUCCCUUCUUUCCCACUCCACCGUCGUCGCAGGUGCUCGAAGCCACCCACCGCGGAGUCCCCCUCUCUCCACUAAAUUCGAGAGCUACCCACCAAGCGUCGCCGCCGCAUCUCCCCCUCCCGCCUCUCAAGCUCCCUCCUUUCCGCCGCCGCCGCCGCCUCCGGAGACGCCGUCGCCGCCGCCGUCUCGCCGCCGGUGGUGCCCUCCGGGAGGACGAGCGCGCGCGCGAUAGGAAGCGACCCAUGAAGCGGCGGGGCGGGAUCGGGUUCUCCCCCCCCGUGGCCGCCGUCGUCCUCGCGAUCGGCUUCCUCUACUUCUCCACCGUCUUCGUCUUCAUCGACCGCUGGUUCGGCCUCGCCUCCUCGCCGGGCCUCAUGAACGCCGCCGCCUUCACCGGCGUCGCCCUCAUGUGCGUCUUCAACUACGCCGCCUCCGUCUUCACCGACCCGGGUCGGGUCCCUCCCACCUUCGUGCCCGACGUCGAGGAUGCCGAGACCCCGAUUCACGAGAUCAAGCGCAAGGGUGGCGAUUUGAGAUAUUGCCAAAAGUGUUCCCUCUAUAAGCCUCCACGUGCACAUCAUUGUCGAGUCUGCAAAAGAUGUGUUCUGCGAAUGGAUCACCACUGCAUUUGGAUAAACAAUUGUGUUGGCCACGCAAACUACAAGGUCUUCUUUGUAUUUGUUGUCUAUGCGGUAACAGCAUGCAUCUAUUCACUGGUCUUGCUUCUGGGUAGUUUGAUCAUUGAUCCUGAAAAGGAUGAUCAGCAAAGUGAAAACUCCUUCCGAACUGUAUAUGUUAUUUCGGGGCUGUUGCUUGUACCUCUGUGCAUUGCCUUAGGUGUCCUAUUGGGUUGGCACAUCUACCUUAUUUUGCAUAACAAGACCACAAUUGAGCUCUUAUUCUUUUUCAACAGUAUCAUGAAGGUGUGAGAGCAAUGUGGUUGGCAGAGAAGGGAGGCAGUGUCUAUAAUCAUCCAUAUGAUCUUGGUGCCUACGAAAAUUUGACCAUGGUACUGGGUCCCAAUAUAUUAAGCUGGUUAUGCCCCACAACUACACACAUUGGUUCCGGUCUUCGCUUCCGCACCUCAUAUGAUGAGUUGGCGGCUUCGCCUGAUUCAUAGCCACUUUUGCUUUGUUGAGAAUUGAUCUCGAGUCAUUCCACAUUCUUUUAACUCACUGAAGCAGAGAGCGCUCCUCAUUUGAUUUAGAGAUUCUCAGACCGUACGCUCCUGUGGCUUUGCAUUCGGGAAUUUCCAUGACUAGCGGCUUUCUGAUGCCGAAGCUUUUGGCUGCGAGGUUCUUGGAGGUGCACAGCCCUCCACAUGCGAAGGCACGGUGUAGUCUUUGUAAGAUCUGGGUACAGGGGGAGUUUGGUCUUUCUUUUGAUUUGUUGUGUCAUAGGUUGGAUGUCCUUAAUGUGCAUGCGGAUGGUAUAGAGCUCACACGCCUGUAUGAAAUUCGGCUUGCAAUUGUACAAAAAGGAAGGUAUAUAAAAGGAUCAUUCGCUUGCCAGAUUUCCUUUGUACCACAGGUUUGGUAGGAAGCAUAGAAACGUGAAUGCAUUUUCUUAUACUUUUAGAGUUAUAAUGCAUGAAACGGGUUGAAAAUAA